ACGAACGCUGGCGGCGUGCUUAACACAUGCAAGUCGAACGAGGUCCAGCUAAUCUUCGGAGAGGCGAAGACCUAGUGGCGAACGGGUGCGUAACACGUGAGAAACCUGCCCCAGACUUGGGAAUAACAGUCGGAAACGACUGCUAAUACCGAAUACCUUCGUAGCGUCGCAUGGCGCAUCGAAGAAAGCUUUUGCGGUUUGGGAGGGUCUCGCGGCCUAUCAGCUAGUUGGUGAGGUAACGGCUCACCAAGGCAUCGACGGGUAGCUGGUCUGAGAGGAUGAUCAGCCACACUGGGACUGAGACACGGCCCAGACUCCUACGGGAGGCAGCAGUGGGGAAUCUUGCACAAUGGGCGAAAGCCUGAUGCAGCAACGCCGCGUGCGGGAAGAAGGCCUUAGGGUUGUAAACCGCUUUCAGCAGGGAAGAAAAUGACGGUACCUGCAGAAGAAGGUGCGGCCAACUACGU
rnacentral:rRNA from 1 species